CCUACGGGUGGCAGCAGUGAGGAAUAUUGGUCAAUGGGCGCGAGCCUGAACCAGCCAAGUCGCGUGAGGGAAGACGGUCCUAUGGAUUGUAAACCUCUUUUGUCGGGGAGCAAACGACGCCACGCGUGGCGUUCCGAGAGUACCCGAAGAAAAAGCAUCGGCUAACUCCGUGCCAGCAGCCGCGGUAAUACGGAGGAUGCGAGCGUUAUCCGGAUUUAUUGGGUUUAAAGGGUGCGCAGGCGGAAGAUAAAGUCAGAGGUAAAAUUGAGAGGUUAAACCUGUUAGAGCCGUUAAAACUGGUGUUCUUGAGUGAGUGAGAGGGAGGCGGAAUGCAUGGUGUAGCGGUGAAAUGCAUAGAGAUCACACAGAACACCGAUUGCGAAGGCAGCAUACCGGCGCUCAACUGACGCUGAUGCACGAAAGUGUGGGUAUCGAACAGGAUUAGAUACCCUGGUAGUC
rnacentral:rRNA from 1 species